UACGUAGGUGGCAAGCGUUGUCCGGAUUUACUGGGCGUAAAGAGCGCGCAGGCGGUCGUUCAAGUCGCGUGUGAAAGCCCCCGGCUCAACUGGGGAGGGUCACGCGAUACUGAUCGACUCGAAGGCAGGAGAGGGUAGUGGAAUUCCCGGUGUAGUGGUGAAAUGCGUAGAUAUCGGGAGGAACACCAGUGGCGAAGGCGGCACCCUGGGUCUGACCUGACGCUGAGACGCGACAGCAUGGGGAGCGAACGGG
rnacentral:rRNA from 1 species